UGGGGAAUAUUGCACAAUGGGCGAAAGCCUGAUGCAGCGACGCCGCGUGAGUGAAGAAGUAUUUCGGUAUGUAAAGCUCUAUCAGCAGGGAAGAAAAUGACGGUACCUGACUAAGAAGCCCCGGCUAACUACGUGCCAGCAGCCGCGGUAAUACGUAGGGGGCAAGCGUUAUCCGGAUUACUGGGUGUAAAGGGAGCGUAGACGGUAAAGCAAGUCUGAAGUGAAAGCCCGCGGCUCAACUGCGGGACUGCUUUGGAAACUGUUUAACUGGAGUGUCGGAGAGGUAAGUGGAAUUCCUAGUGUAGCGGUGAAAUGCGUAGAUAUUAGGAGGAACACCAGUGGCGAAGGCGACUUACUGGACGAUAACUGACGUUGAGGCUCGAAAGCGUGGGGAGCAAACAGGAUUAGAUACCC
rnacentral:rRNA from 1 species